GAGUAGUGGCGGCGAAGGACCGUGGAGCCAGGCGGGGAGGCGGGAGGGCUAAUGUUACA
rnacentral:sRNA from 14 species